rnacentral:rRNA from 1 species
AUAAUCUGCCUGGAUGCCUGGGAUAACCAGUCGAAAGAUUGGCUAAUACCGGAUAAGCCCACGGUUUCUUCGGAGACUGAGGGAAAAGGUGGCCUCUGUAAACAAGCUAUCACAACCAGAUGAGUCCGCGGCCCAUCAGCUAGUUGGCGGGGUAAUGGCCCACCAAGGCGACGACGGGUAGCUGGUCUGAGAGGACGAUCAGCCACACUGGAACUGAGACACGGUCCAGACUCCUACGGGAGGCAGCAGUGGGGAAUUUUGCGCAAUGGGCGAAAGCCUGACGCAGCAACGCCGCGUGUGUGAUGAAGGUCUUUGGAUUGUAAAGCACUUUCGACCGGGACGAAACCGUAAAGCCUAAUACGCUUUGCCUUGACGGUACCGGGAGAAGAAGCACCGGCUAACUCUGUGCCAGCAGCCGCGGUAAUACAGAGGGUGCAAGCGUUGUUCGGAAUUAUUGGGCGUAAAGCGCGUGUAGGCGGCUUUGCAAGUCGGGUGUGAAAGCCCUCAGCUCAACUGAGGAA